rnacentral:misc_RNA from 1 species
GAGAUUAUCGAAAAUGUGUUUCUGAGCAAGGGUCUAGUAUUCCACCCAGGGACGGGAUCCCUGUUGUAAAUAGAGUGCGCCUUAGGAUGUCAUUGGAGAAUGUAGUGAAGGAUAUCCCUUUGAUCUCAGAUCAUUCUUGGACUUACGGUGAUUUCAUGGAAGUGGAAUCCCGAAUAUUGAAAGCCUUGCAACCACAUCUUCUUCUAGAUCCUACUCCCAAAUUGGAUAGGCUAUGUAAUGACCCAACUUCCACAAAGCUCAAUUUGGGUCUGAGCAACUUGCGGAGAAAAAGAUUGAGACAGAUGCCUGAAGUUACUGUAACAUCUACUAGCAGAAUCCAUGGGAAGAAAGUUUGUA